GCCGACCAAGUGUUUGUUUCUUUGAUUCCUCCCCCCAUCACGCUUCCACCCGUUUCUUCUCCAGGAGAACAGCAGGGGGGUGGGGGGAGUAGCUGCGCCGAUGGCACGCCAUGUUCAUCAAGGGAAUAAUGCUAAAGAAGGCAUUCAUAUAAACCUGAAGGGUUUUGCAAUUGGCAAUGGACAAAGCAAUACACUGGUUAUGCACUGGGUACGGGAAUUAUUAAGGAAUCUGAUUACAAAAGCAUCAGCACUAUGUUCUAUCCAGCAUAUGAACUUGCCAUCAAACUUUGUGCCGCGGUGGCCGCUGGACGGAGCCCCAGCCUCCACCCCGUACAGUCUCCUCAACCUGUCGAUGACGGGGCGGAACCCGGCGCGGAGCGGCACCACCGACGCCACCCGCAGGUGCUCCGCAUUGCCCUUCCUCGACCGGCUCAGCGUCAUCCUCAGCAUCUCCCCCUGAAGCAGCUCCCCGACCGUCUCCCUUGCCGACGGAUGCGCCCCCAGGAAGUCCGUCCAGUCGUCCGCGGAGCACCCCAUAAGCACCCUCGCCGCCCUGUCGAAGCACACCACCACCAUUACCCUGUCCACCGUGCCAACCGAUACCUACAGCAACCACCACCGCAGCGAUAAAGAAGUUGCAAGACCAUCUCUCGGGAGGCCGCAAAAGAAAGACGAGAUCUUGGCGGAGGAAAUCACUACGAGGAGGCGGUAGACGUGCUUCGAGCCGGCGUUGGGGAUCCGACGGCUGCAGACGGGGCAGUUGGAGGCGGUAUCGGAGAGGGUCCGCUCGCAGAUGGAGCAGACACGGUAGCAGAAGGCGGACGUGUCUACGGCCACCACCGAGCAAUAGGGCGGUGUCCAUGGAUUCUCCGCCGCCGCCGACGACGACGACGCUCCAUAGGACGCCAUGGCGGUCUGUUUCCCCUCUUCUGAUGACCCGUGACCGGGCGUCCAUCACCUAGUAACGGACCCGGUGUAGGCCCCACAUGUCACGUGACGAGUUCUUGAGUGGUUUUGGGUUCCGAUGACCUCGUGCGCCUAACUAAAGGUCCGCCUGGGACGCGUCAAUUUGGGUGCGCCCGCAAAAAGUAAAGAAGAAGGCGUUCGAACGUAGCUAUUAUGGAGAACGGUGUCUUUCGUGGUGCCGGUGCAGAUUGACAGCAGCCACCGAGCCCUCUUAGUGAUUUCGGCCAGGGCUCAAGAUUUCUAAUCGUGCGAAGCUCUUCAAACAUGCUUGGAUUAGCUCCGAGGUAUCGAUUGCUGUUCAGACCGGUUGCCCAAGCUGUGGUUGCUUAUUUGCACGGAGCUUAUCAACGUGAGAAGUUGAGGUAAUGAUGGAUGGCUUCUAUGGUUAAAGCGCACUUGCAGGGAAACAAGAUGGGCCUUGAUCUCAAUUUCGACUAUAAUAAUGCUCUUUGGUCUUGAUGUCUAUUAAUUUCUUUGAAGAAUAGUAUUUACCAUCAAAUGAAAAAAGGAAUCUAGAGAUUUAAUCUUCUGUGACUGUGAUUUGUAAUAUCUUGAUCAUUUGUAAAGGGACUGCUGGGGAUUGUUUGUGUCGCUUGGAGUUCCUAAACCGAAGCUAUCUCUUUCGGUUGGAGUCAACGCAAGUGAUGGCAUCACAAGGCUUGGCUGGAUGUGGAAGCUAUCCAUCCAUCCAUCCUUAUGAUAGAGGCAGAAGUACCACAAUGGUCUUUUAUAUAUGGAAGAUUCCAUGGCAAGCUUAGCUUGCAACUGAGAAGCUCUUUCCCUAUCCUCCUCUCAGUCCACAUCAAAUUUUGCUUACAAUAAUACCAUGUUGUCAGGUCAGUCUUCUUCCUCUUCUUCUUAUUCUUAU